rnacentral:rRNA from 1 species
CAUCUUUAGUUGCCAGCAGGUUAAGCUGGGCACUCUAGAGAAACUGCCCGUGAUAAGCGGGAGGAAGGUGUGGAUGACGUUAAGUCCUCAUGGCCCUUACGGGUUGGGCUACACACGUGCUACAAUGGCAGUGACAAUGGGUUAAUCCCAAAAAGCUGUCUCAGUUCGGAUUGGGGUCUGCAACUCGACCCCAUGAAGUCGGAAUCGCUAGUAAUCGCGUAAUAGCAUGACGCGGUGAAUACGUUC